GCCUUCCUCUUCCUUGUGAAGCUUCCCCAUUUGGGGAAAUGCCACCUCGCACCUGGUCCUUGCUAGGGAAGGGGGUAAACCCACCGCAUCCCAAGAGACGAGAGACGCAUGGCUGAUGACGGUCUGCUGUUUGUCCGAGGGGAAAUAAAGGGAAGCGGAGCUCGCUGCGGCUGCCCUGCUGCAGCCCGAACCCCGCACGCGGUGUCUGCGCGCCCUCAGCCAGAGAAGAUGUUUCCAUGCGAAGGCCAGCAGGUCACACUCAGCUGUGGGGCUGUCUGUCUCCUGAUGGACCCUGUUGCUCCUGGCGAGUGCCUGGCUCUCUUCAAAUUGAACACUGUGAAAGCAAAGAAGUGAACUAGCAUUCAUCAGCAACGACAUAAUAAGAAUUGAUUCAGUCAACGUCUGGGAUGACGGAAAAAGUUCACUUAGGUGAACACGACCCCACUCUCUUAUUACUGAGCAGAGAAACG